rnacentral:rRNA from 1 species
UACAGAGGGUGCAAGCGUUGUUCGGAAUUAUUGGGCGUAAAGCGCGUGUAGGCGGCUUAUCAAGUCAGAUGUGAAAGCCCUCGGCUUAACCGAGGAAGUGCGUCUGAAACUGAUGAGCUUGAGUGCCGGAGAGGAUGGCGGAAUUCCGCAAGUAGAGGUGAAAUUCGUAGAUAUGCGGAGGAACACCGGUGGCGAAGGCGGCCAUCUGGACGGCAACUGACGCUGAGACGCGAAAGCGUGGGGAGCAAAC